rnacentral:lncRNA from 1 species
AAUUCCCUCCCUUUUAUUGCCGACCUGUACUGGUGCCUCCUCACUCCCCUUGACUCCAAUGCCGUCCUCUGUUUUCCCAGACCCUGUUUCCUCCCACCCCCCAGAAUGCCCCUCUUGGUUCAACCCAGCUCCUGCACCCUUCCACCCCAAUCGUGCCGUUGAGGGCAGUUACUUCCUCCUCACUUCCCCUGGUGUGGCUGGACAGGGCUGCUGGUCAGGAGGCAUGUAGUCAUGUUGGAAGGCAGCAGUCCCAGAGCCAGGAAAGGGGUUAAGGCCAUCACAAAGUUCAGCAAGAGGCGGGCUCUGUGUGGGUCUGGGGCCACCAGAACUCGUUGCUCAGAGGUCCCCAGUGCUGGGAGCAGGAGGAACCCCGCGUGCCUUCCAUCGUCCUCUGCAUCUCAGCUCUGACUUGGCAGCCCUCCGACCUCGGCCUGGUUACUUCGCCUUUCAGCAGCUUCUUUAUGUGGCUGCAGUGAGAAUUAAGUGACAUAAUCCAUGUACAGUGCCAGGCACACAGAAGGUCAUUCAGGAAAGAUGAUUAAACUACUCACCCAGGGACACUGACUGGUAAGUGGCAGAGCCUGGGUUUGAACCCAGGUCUACUGAAUGCUAGAGCCUGCGGAAACUGGAGCUUU